AUUGAACGCUGGCGGCAUGCCUUACACAUGCAAGUCGAACGGCAGCGGACCUUCGGGUGCCGGCGAGUGGCGAACGGGUGAGUAAUGUAUCGGAACGUACCUUUCAGUGGGGGAUAACGUAGCGAAAGUUACGCUAAUACCGCAUAUUCUGUGAGCAGGAAAGCAGGGGAGCGCAAGACCUUUCGCUGAUUGAGCGGCCGAUAUCAGAUUAGCUAGUUGGUGAGGUAAAGGCUCACCAAGGCGACGAUCUGUAGCGGGUCUGAGAGGAUGAUCCGCCACACUGGAACUGAGACACGGUCCAGACUCCUACGGGAGGCAGCAGUGGGGAAUUUUGGACAAUGGGCGCAAGCCUGAUCCAGCCAUGCCGCGUGGGUGAAGAAGGCCUUCGGGUUGUAAAGCUCUUUCGGCCGGGAAGAAAUCGCAUGGGUUAAUACCCUGUGCGGAUGACGGUACCGGCAUAAGAAGCACCGGCUAACUACGUGCCAGCCGCCGCAGUAACAC
rnacentral:rRNA from 1 species